ensembl:lincRNA
AGAGCCAUUUGCAAAACUACUGUGCAAUCGGAAAGAAAAGAACAGCAUGGCUUCCUCGCCUCAGAGACAGCUCACAAAAACCUCCCUAAGAACCCCACAGAGAAACGUGGGCUCCCUGCUCUGACAGCUCCCAGGGGGUGUCGGUGGGGGAUAAAGACGCUGAAGGCCGCCUCAGAGAUAAAAGGUCAGCUACUUUGUGAACUUGACUCCACAUGCAACCUGAAUCCUGCUGGAAACAGGCAUGGUCCCCGUGUCAAUACAGGAUAUGCACAUCUGCCAGACUCUAGGACAAGAACCUCACGACAUGCUGACUGGCAGCUCCUAGGAGGUUGGAAUCGUCAACAGUCACUAGCUCCCAGGAAUCCAUGCAGAGCAAUCACCCUGGAAACAGCACAGAGGACUGAGGCCUAGAGCCAGGACCUGAUGUCCCCUGAAAGGACGGGACCCCCUCCUGUGAGCUGUGUGCUCCUGUGAGGCUAGGGGAACUGAGUGACUUGGAACUUCCUCUGG